rnacentral:rRNA from 1 species
AGCGAACGCUGGCGGCAGGCCUAACACAUGCAAGUCGAACGAAGUCUUCGGACUUAGUGGCGGACGGGUGAGUAACACGUGGGAACGUGCCUUUAGGUUCGGAAUAACUCAGGGAAACUUGUGCUAAUACCGAAUGUGCCCUUCGGGGGAAAGAUUUAUCGCCUUUAGAGCGGCCCGCGUCUGAUUAGCUAGUUGGUGGGGUAAUGGCCCACCACGGCUACGAUCAGUAGCUGGUCUGAGAGGAUGACCAGCCACCUUGGGACUGAGACACGGCCCAAACUCCUACGGGAGGCAGCAGUGGGGAAUCUUGCGCAAUGGGCGAAAGCCUGACGCAGCCAUGCCGCGUGGAUGAUGAAGGUCUUAGGAUUGUAAAAUCCUUUCACCGGUGAAGAUAAUGACUGUAGCCGGAGAAGAAGCCCCGGCUAACUUCGUGCCAGCCGCCGCCGUAAUAC